rnacentral:rRNA from 1 species
CUACGUGCCAGCAGCCGCGGUAAUACGUAGGUGGCAAGCGUUGUCCGGAAUUAUUGGGCGUAAAGCGCGCGCAGGCGGAUUGGUCAGUCUGUCUUAAAAGUUCGGGGCUUAACCCCGUGAUGGGAUGGAAACUGCCAAUCUAGAGUAUCGGAGAGGAAAGUGGAAUUCCUAGUGUAGCGGUGAAAUGCGUAGAUAUUAGGAAGAACACCAGCGGCGAAGGCGACUUUCUGGACGAAAACUGACGCUGAGGCGCGAAAGCCAGGGGAGCGAACGGGAUUAGAUACCCUGGUAGUCCAUGCCGUAAACGUUGGGCACUAGGUGUGGGGGACAUUCCACGUUUUCCGCGCCGUAGCUAACGCAUUAAGUGCCCCGCCUGGGGAGUACGGCCGCAAGGCUAAAACUCAAAGAAAUUGACGGGGGCCCGCACAAGCGGCGGAGCAUGCGGAUUAAUUCGAUGCAACGCGAAGAACCUUACCAAGGCUUGACAU